rnacentral:rRNA from 1 species
UACGUAGGUGGCAAGCGUUGUCUGGAAUUAUUGGGCGUAAAGCGCGCGCAGGCGGUCCUUUAAGUCUGAUGUGAAAGCCCACGGCUCAACCGUGGAGGGUCAUUGGAAACUGGGGGACUUGAGUACAGAAGAGGAAAGUGGAAUUCCACGUGUAGCGGUGAAAUGCGUAGAGAUGUGGAGGAACACCAGUGGCGAAGGCGACUUUCUGGUCUGUAACUGACGCUGAGGCGCGAAAGCGUGGGGAGCAAACAGG